rnacentral:rRNA from 1 species
CCCGCCCUACGGGACGCAGCAGUAGGGAAUAUUGCUCAAUGGGGGAAACCCUGAAGCAGCAACGCCGCGUGGAGGAUGAAGGCUUUCGGAUUGUAAACUCCUUUUGUUAGAGAAGAUAAUGCCGGUAUCUAACGAAUAAGCACCGGCUAACUCCGUGCCAGCAGCCGCGGUAAUCCUGAGGGUGCAAGCGUUACUCGGAAUCACUGGGCGUAAAGAGCGCGUAGGCGGGAUAGCAAGUCAGAUGUGAAAUCCUAUGGCUUAACCAUAGAAUUGCAUUUGAAACUGU